CUGCUGCCGCAGUACAUAUUAAAAAACUGAAUUGAUAAAGUGAUGAUUAGCAUUACACCUGCAGGAGGAAGAGACUGAAAUCAGGAAAGCACUUUAUGUGACU